rnacentral:rRNA from 1 species
ACAUACGACCAUAGGGUGUGGAGAACAGGGCUUCCCGUCCGCUCAGCCGUACUUAAGCCACACGCCGGGAGGUUAGUAGUUGGGUGG